ACUGUGCCAUCUGUAGGAUAGGUGGGACGUUCUUAUGCAAACACAGAUAAGUCACCAACGAGGGAAAAUAAAACCCCUUAGACAGCAAUGGGCCCCUCAGAAACAUCUCAUCCCCAAUAAUCCGGGCAGCAUCAAACUCUUUGCCAGUCAUAAAGCACCAAGUCAAGACUGCUCUAUUGAAAUUCACGUCCGUGGUGUUGCCGGACGGUAUGAAACGGCUGCAGAUCACGGUCAGCCAACAUAUUUCCAGGUGCGUAAAGGAGGAGGAGUUCAAGGUCACGCCAUUCGCGACCCAAGUCGCUUUCCCCCAACACAAAGUGUGGCAAUCAAAUCAUCUCAUGUGAAAUCAGGCCGGCCAUGGUAGUCGUCAACAUUGCCUGUAAAUGAAGGCAGUUGCAAGGCGCUCUGAAUGUAUGGGACAUAUUCAUGGACAUAUACACCCCUCACAAACACUCGCCUAAGCGAAGAAGCCGGGCAGUUGGCAUAAAAUUCUUGCACAAUCAUCGGGUUGAUCGGGCAAGGAUCAUCAAACAGGAAUUCCAUCUGUCGCCGCUGAAUGUCCUCGUACAUCUCGUCUUUUUUUGCUCGGGGGGUAGCCUGGUCAAUCGAAACAUCCUAAAUAAAGGUCUUCCUAGCCUUAGCGUGAAAAUCAUCCUCCGCCUGUUCAGAGGCGAACCUAGACUCAUCAUAUGUGGGUUGGUUGGAUGAGCCAGCCCCUUACUUUUGUUUCUUUCUAGUCAUAGUACCGGCAUAGAGACCAGACAACCCAUUAGAUUCAUUCAAAGCAGUGUCAAACGGGUGGUUACUCAAACUUCACCACCUACUGACACCAUAAUAACACCCCCUUUUGUAGUUUCAAGUGACACACAUUGCCCCAUUAGCAUUGUAUUGAAGGCCUGCCAACCUAGCUAAAUACAAACAUUGGCCAACACCAACCCACACUUACUAUUUCACCCAAUUUAUAAAUAAUAUAACCCCCGAACUCACCAACUAGCAGACCCCACACUUAGA
rnacentral:lncRNA from 1 species